rnacentral:rRNA from 1 species
GACGAACGCUGAGCGGCGUGCUUAACACAUGCAAGUCAAGGGGAAAGUCUCAGCUCGCUGAGAUGAGUAUACUGGCGGAUGGGUGAGUAACACGUAGGUAAUCUGCCCUUAGGACAGGGAUAAGAUUGCUAACGCGAUGCUAAUACCUGAUGAAGCAACUGUUGAAUCAGAUGGUUGUUAAAGGCUGGCUUUCAGCUAGCGCCUGAGGAUGAGCCUGCGUCUCAUUAGCUAGUUGGUAGGGUAAUGGCCUACCAAGGCGACGAUGGGUAGCCGGCCUGAGAGGGUGAGCGGCCACACUGGGACUGAGAUACGGCCCAGACUCCUACGGGAGGCAGCAGUGAGGAAUAUUGCGCAAUGGCCGAAAGGUUGACGCAGCGACGCCGCGUGAGGGAUGAAGCUUUUAGGAGUGUAAACCUCUGUUAGGAGGGAAGAAUAAUGGCAAUUCGAACAGGGUUGUCAGAUGACGGUACCUCCAGAGGAAGCCCCGGCUAACUCCGUGCCAGCAGCCGCGGUAAUACGGGGGGGGCUAGCGUUGUCCGGAAUUACUGGGCGUAAAGGGCGCGUAGGCGGGAUAGCAAGUCAGUUGUGAAAUCCUUACUGCUCAACAGAAGAAUUGCAAUUGAUACUACCAGGCUAGAGUUCGGUAGAGGAGAGCGGAAUUCUCGGUGUAGCGGUGAAAUGCGUAGAUAUCGAGAAGAACACCAGUGGCGUAGGCGGCUCUCUAGCCCGAUACUGACACUGAAACACGAAAGCGUGGGUAGCGAACGGGAUUAGAUACCCCGGUAGUCCACGCCGUAAACGAUGGGUACUAGGUGCAGGUGGUAUCGAUCCCUUCUGUGCCGAAGCAAACGCGUUAAGUACCCCGCCUGGGGAGUACGGCCGCAAGGCUAAAACUCAAAGGAAUAGACGGGGGCCCGCACAAGCGGUGGAGCAUGUGGUUUAAUACGACGCAACGCGUAGAACCUUACCAGGGCUUGACAUGCUGGUGGUACUGGCUCCGAAAGGAGACAGGACCCUUCGGGGAGCCAACACAGAUGUUGCACGGCUGUCGUCAGCUCGUGUCGUGAGAUGCUGGGUUAAGUCCCGCAACGAGCGCAACCCUUGUCCUUAGUUGCCAGCAGGUAAUGCUGGGGACUCUAAGGAGACUGCCUGUGAUAAGCAGGAGGAAGGUGAGGAUGACGUCAAGUCAUUGUGGCUCUUACGCCCUGGGCUACACACGUGCUACAAUGGUCGAUACAAUGGGUAGCAAUGCCGCGAGGUGGAGCCAAUCCCCAAAAGUCGGCCUCAGUUCGGAUUGGAGUCUGCAACUCGACUCCAUGAAGUCGGAAUCGCUAGUAAUGGCGCAUCAGCUACGGCGCCGUGAUACGUUCCCGGGCCUUGUACUCACCGCCCGUCACAUCACCUGAGUUGAUUGCACCUGAAGUCACUGGUCUAACCUUCGGGAGGAAAGUGCCGAAGGUGUGAUUCUAAGGGGGAUGAAGUCG